rnacentral:rRNA from 1 species
CCUACGGGGGGCAGCAGUGAGGAAUAUUGGUCAAUGGGCGAGAGCCUGAACCAGCCAAGUCGCGUGAAGGAUGAAGGAUCUCUGGUUUGUAAACUUCUUUUGUCUGGGAAUAAAGUGCGGAACGUGUUCCUUUUUGUAUGUACCAUAUGAAUAAGCAUCGGCUAACUCCGUGCCAGCAGCCGCGGUAAUACGGAGGAUGCGAGCGUUAUCCGGUUUUAAUGGGUUUAAAGGGUGCGUAGGUGGGUAAUUAAGUCAGCGGUGAAAAGUGGGGGCUCAACCAUAAAAUUGCCGUUGAAACUGGGUGACGUGAGUGAAGUGGAGGUAUGCGGAAUGCGUGGUGUAGCGGUGAAAUGCAUAGAUAUCACGCAGAACUCCGAUUGCGAAGGCAGCGUACUAAACCAUAACUGACACUGAGGCACGAAAGCGUGGGGAUCAAACAGGAUUAGAUACCCCGGUAGUC